AGUGAACGCUGGCGGUAGGCCUAACACAUGCAAGUCGAACGGCAGCACAGUAAGAGCUUGCUCUUACGGGUGGCGAGUGGCGGACGGGUGAGGAAUACAUCGGAAUCUACUUUUUCGUGGGGGAUAACGUAGGGAAACUUACGCUAAUACAGCAUACGACCUACGGGUGAAAGCAGGGGAUCUUCGGACCUUUCGCGAUUGAAUGAGCCGAUGUCGGAUUAGCUGGUUGGGGGGGUAAAGGCCCACCAAGGCGACGAUCGGUAGCUGGUCUGAGAGGCUGAUCAGCCACACUGGAACUGAGCCACCGUCAAGACUCCUACGGGAGGCAGCAGUGGGGAAUAUUGGCCAAUGGGCGCAAGCCUGAUCCAGCCAUACCGCGUGGGUGAAGAAGGCCUUCGGGUUGUAAAGCCCUUUUGUUGGGAAAGAAAAGCAGCCGGUUAAUACCCCGCUGUUCUGACGGUACCCAAAGAAUAAGCACCGGCUAACUUCGUG
rnacentral:rRNA from 1 species